CCCCUCCCUCUCCCCGGCCUGCGUCACCGCUCUCCCAGCCGAGUGGCGGCCGCCUCUCUCCCCGACGCUGACGUGGCCGCUACGCCUGACUACCCGACCGCCCGCCGGAAGCGCAGCCCUUGUAGGGCGCAGACUCCUGAGGGCUCCGCGGGGCCGGAGGCCGCACAACAGCGGCCCGCGGUCUCUGGCCGGGCUCUCAUCUUCCAAACGACUCCCCGGUCCCGCAAAGGAGCUUUCACCGUGGGACCACAUCUCUAAUGCUGAAAAGCAGCUGAAAAUACCCAGGACCACCUGACUCUCUGACUCAGUGGGACUCAACCCCUGACCUCAGGGGAGUUUCCUGAGCCAUGAAGGAAGCCUUGAGCUGAGCACAGAGGGAAACAUGGGAAAGGAUGUUGAUUAUUAUUUUCCUAGCUAUUAUCCUGACCUGAUUACUCUUGUCAUUAUGGGCUCUCAUUAAAGCUCAGUUGAGGAUGACACUAAA